rnacentral:lncRNA from 1 species
UUCCCUGCAAUGAGGAAGCCCAAAUAAACCUUUCUACCCUGGAUUCGAUUUUAUCAGCCAUUUUACCAUAACAAUAAGAGAAGUAGCUAAUACAACAUUGAUAGAGAUUCAUGUUACAAUGACCUUCCUUUACAAUGGAGACAUUUUGCUUUGAAGUAUAAUGAAAAGCUGCUUAUAAAGAAGAGAGAUCAAAGGGAACAAAGAUGAACACAAGACCAAAAGGAUAAAUGUGUUACUCCACAUCCACCAUCGAAGGGAAAUCUAGGGACAAAAGCAACCAGCUUGGGCCACAACUUUGUUUUCACUUCUCUUGAUGACCUGAUUAUAGAGCCUCCCAUUGCAUGGUCUAGGAGCAGGCCAUGCUUCCCAGUGAGAGACCUUAAGUCUUGGUGCAUCUGGAGAACAUCCACAAAGCUCCAUGAGCUACCUUGGUAUCUUGGGGAGCCAUCUUUCCUCCCAUGGUGUCAUUCUAAAAUGGUCCAAUGUCUUGAGCAAAAGGGUUCUAUAAGCUCAAUCACCACCACAUCCUAACAACUGCCUUUCAAAGCUCCUCAAUAAUUCUGUUUCAUAUUGUUUCAUGAACAUCUAUAGAACCACAUUUGAACAUUCUCAAGCAGCUGUGUCCAAGGAUACUAAAUAUGCCCUUCUCUUUCUUGGAUUGGUGGAAGAGCUUGGACUCUGAGAACUUGAUUAGGCUAUGACUUUGACAUGUAUGACUGUCAGUUCUAGACUAGAUAUUGGUUGGCCAACUGGAACUUCAGUUCUAUACUUAUAAAACAGACCCUAGUAGGUCAAUGUGAAACCUAUAUCUGGAAGCCCUAUAACUUAUAAGAUGUGUUAUGACUAUAUUUUGGGUAGUUUAUAUUUGUUGUAUUUAAAAUUGAUUAGAAUCUUUACUUAAAAUUGUUUUUACUAAAGGUGCAAGGUUCAGUAUUUCAGUUGGUACAAAACCUUAUUACUAUAAGGUAAAAGAGUGGGCACUUUAUGCACAUAAAAAAUAAAAAUAAGAUUUCAAGAAUAGGUGUGUAGGGCUAUGCUACUUAAAAAAUAGUCCAAAAAUAUAGCUAAACAAAUUUUAUGUAAGUUUUUUUUCUGAAAUAUGCCAUUUUGGUACUAUAUACUGUUGCAAAUUCCAUUUGUUCAAAAGUGCUCCAGCAAACAGGAAGUAUGUCCAACCUCUUUGGCCAUGAGGAAAAGACCAAUUAAAAGAACAUUGGGAUCUCUUUCAGCAUGGUAGAAAUGGCUAUCAUAAAGAAAAAAUUAGC